CGGACGGGUGAGUAAUGUCUGGGAAACUGCCUGAUGGAGGGGGAUAACUACUGGAAACGGUAGCUAAUACCGCAUAACGUCGCAAGACCAAAGAGGGGGACCUUCGGGCCUCUUGCCAUCGGAUGUGCCCAGAUGGGAUUAGCUAGUAGGUGGGGUAACGGCUCACCUAGGCGAUGAUCCCUAGCUGGUCUGAGAGGAUGACCAGCCACACUGGAACUGAGACACGGUCCAG
rnacentral:rRNA from 1 species